CUCUACGGCUGUGCCACCCUGAACACACCCAGUCCUAUCUGAUCUUGGAAGCUAAGUAGGGUUGGGCCUGGUUAGUACUUGGAUGGGAGACUACCUUGGAAGACCAGGUGCUGUAGGUG
rnacentral:rRNA from 1 species